CCAAGACUCUGACUACCCAGAAGGGAGUUUUGUUGUGUUGCUUUUUCAUUUGCUCCCUUUCCCACAUCAUAACAUGGGCACAUCAUCCCUCUCUCCUGGAACACACCAAACCCAGCCCUCUUCCAGCUCCUUGCAGGAUUUCUCCAAAUUUUGGAUUCUUCCUUCUCCUCUGCUCAAUGCCAUCUUUCUAUCAUUUUUCUCCAGCUCCUGAAUCCCAGGCCAUGAGCUUCCACCUUUGAGGAGAGAAAAGGAGCAUUUGCCUGAAGUCCUGGUCCUAAUCUCCUAAAGGUAUUGUGCACAUUGAAUAAUAGGAAGCUCUUGACAAAAGAGAAAGACAAGAGAGGUGACAAAUAUGGCCUACAAAACAGGAAAGGAAAACUAAUCACAAGUGCUGUCAGCCCUACCGAGGUCCUGAGUCGCACAGAACACGCCAGAUCACCCCGCUGCAGACAGGCAGGUCUGCCCACGCCCUACCAAGAUCCUGAGUCGCAUAGAACACGCCGAAUCAGCCCACUACAGACAGGCAGGUCUGUGCACGCCCUAGCGAGGUCCUGAGUCACCCAGAAGAUGCCAGAAUCAGCCUGCUGCAGACAGGCAGGUCUGUGCAUGCGCUACCGAGGUCCUGAGUCACACAGAACACGCUUAAUCAGCCCGAUGCAGACAGGCAGGUCUGUGCAUGCCCUACCGAGAUCCUGAGUCAUGCAGAAGAUGCCGAAUCACCCCACUGCAGACAGGCAGCCACUUGGUUCCAUACUACAAAGAUG
rnacentral:lncRNA from 1 species